AAAGCGAGUCUGAAUAGGGCGCAUAAGUAACAGGUCGUAGACCCGAAACCAGGUGAUCUACCCAUGUCCAGGAUGAAGGUAAGGUAAUACUUACUGGAGGUCCGAACCCACGCACGUUGAAAAGUGCGGGGAUGAGGUGUGGGUAGCGGAGAAAUUCCAAUCGAACUUGGAGAUAGCUGGUUCUCUCCGAAAUAGCUUUAGGGCUAGCCUCGAGGUAAAGAGUCAUGGAGGUAGAGCACUGUUUGGACUAGGGGCCCUUCUCGGGUUACCGAAUUCAGAUAAACUCCGAAUGCCAUGUACUUAUACUCGGGAGUCAGACUGCGAGUGAUAAGAUCCGUAGUCGAAAGGGAAACAGCCCAGACCACCAGUUAAGGUCCCCAAAUAUAUGUUAAGUGGAAAAGGAUGUGGGGUUGCUUAGACAACCAGGAUGUUGGCUUAGAAGCAGCCACCAUUGAAAGAGUGCGUAAUAGCUCACUGGUCGAGUGACCCCGCGCCGAAAAUGUACCGGGGCUAAACAUAUUACCGAAACUGUGGAUGAACCUCUUUAGAGGUUCGUGGUAGGAGAGCGUUCUAAGGGCGGUGAAGUCAGACCGGAAGGACUGGUGGAGCGCUUAGAAGUGAGAAUGCCGGUAUGAGUAGCGAAAGAAGGGUGAGAAUCCCUUCCACCGAAUAUCUAAGGUUUCCUGAGGAAGGCUCGUCCGCUCAGGGUUAGUCGGGACCUAAGCCGAGGCCGAUAGGCGUAGGCGAUGGACAACAGGUAGAGAUUCCUGUACCAGUGCUAAUUGUUUAACCGAUGGGGUGACACAGAAGGAUAGGGAAUCGCACGAAUGGAAAUGUGCGUCCAAGCAGUGAGUGUGAGAAGUAGGCAAAUCCGCUUCUCGCGAAGCAUGAGCUGUGAUGGGGAAGGAAAUUAAGUACGGAAGUUCCUGAUUUCACGCUGUCAAGAAAAGCCUCUAGGAAGAGUAGUACUGCCCGUACCGCAAACCGACACAGGUAGAUGAGGAGAGAAUCCUAAGGUGAGCGAGAGAACUCUCGUUAAGGAACUCGGCAAAAUGACCCCGUAACUUCGGGAGAAGGGGUGCUCUAUUAGGGUGCAAGCCCGAGAGAGCCGCAGUGAAUAGGCCCAGGCGACUGUUUAGCAAAAACACAGGUCUCUGCAAAACCGUAAGGUGACGUAUAGGGGCUGACGCCUGCCCGGUGCUGGAAGGUUAAGAGGAGUGCUUAGCUUCGGCGAAGGUACGAAUUGAAGCCCCAGUAAACGGCGGCCGUAACUAUAACGGUCCUAAGGUAGCGAAAUUCCUUGUCGGGUAAGUUCCGACCCGCACGAAAGGCGCAACGAUCUGGGCACUGUCUCAACGAGAGACUCGGUGAAAUUAUAGUACCUGUGAAGAUGCAGGUUACCCGCGACAGGACGGAAAGACCCCGUGGAGCUUUACUGCAACCUGAUAUGGAAUGUUUGUACCGCUUGUACAGGAUAGGUAGGAGCCGAAGAGACGUGUGCGCUAGCAUACGAGGAGGCAAUGGUGGGAUACUACCCUGGCUGUAUGACCAUUCUAACCCGCCACGCUUAGCGCGUGGGGAGACAGUGUCAGGUGGGCAGUUUGACUGGGGCGGUCGCCUCCUAAAGAGUAACGGAGGCGCCCAAAGGUUCCCUCAGAAUGGAUGGAAAUCAUUCGCAGAGUG
rnacentral:rRNA from 1 species